rnacentral:rRNA from 1 species
CGGGACACGUGGUAUCCUGUCUGAAUAUGGGGGGACCAUCCUCCAAGGCUAAAUACUCCUGACUGACCGAUAGUGAACCAGUACCGUGAGGGAAAGGCGAAAAGAACCCCGGCGAGGGGAGUGAAAAAGAACCUGAAACCGUGUACGUACAAGCAGUGGGAGCACGCUUAGGCGUGUGACUGCGUACCUUUUGUAUAAUGGGUCAGCGACUUAUAUUCUGUAGCAAGGUUAACCGAAUAGGGGAGCCGAAGGGAAACCGAGUCUUAACUGGGCGUUAAGUUGCAGGGUAUAGACCCGAAACCCGGUGAUCUAGCCAUGGGCAGGUUGAAGGUUGGGUAACACUAACUGGAGGACCGAACCGACUAAUGUUGAAAAAUUAGCGGAUGACUUGUGGCUGGGGGUGAAAGGCCAAUCAAACCGGGAGAUAGCUGGUUCUCCCCGAAAGCUAUUUAGGUAGCGCCUCGUGAAUUCAUCUCCGGGGGUAGAGCACUGUUUCGGCAAGGGGGUCAUCCCGACUUACCAACCCGAUGCAAACUGCGAAUACCGGAGAAUGUUAUCACGGGAGACACACGGCGGGUGCUAACGUCCGUCGUGAAGAGGGAAACAACCCAGACCGCCAGCUAAGGUCCCAAAGUCAUGGUUAAGUGGGAAACGAUGUGGGAAGGCCCAGACAGCCAGGAUGUUGGCUUAGAAGCAGCCAUCAUUUAAAGAAAGCGUAAUAGCUCACUGGUCGAGUCGGCCUGCGCGGAAGAUGUAACGGGGCUAAACCAUGCACCGAAGCUGCGGCAGCGACGCUGAUGCGUUGUUGGGUAGGGGAGCGUUCUGUAAGCCUGUGAAGGUGUGCUGUGAGGCAUGCUGGAGGUAUCAGAAGUGCGAAUGCUGACAUAAGUAACGAUAAAGCGGGUGAAAAGCCCGCUCGCCGGAAGACCAAGGGUUCCUGUCCAACGUUAAUCGGGGCAGGGUGAGUCGACCCCUAAGGCGAGGCCGAAAGGCGUAGUCGAUGGGAAACAGGUUAAUAUUCCUGUACUUGGUG